GAUGAACGCUAGCGGCAGGCUUAAUACAUGCAAGUCGAGGGGCAGCACAGGUAGCAAUACUGGGUGGCGACCGGCAAACGGGUGCGGAACACGUACACAACUUACCUUCUGGUGGGGGAUAGCCUUUGGAAACGGAGAUUAAUACCCCAUAUUAUAUAUGAGCUGCAUGGUUUGUAUAUUAAAGAUUUAUUGCCGGAAGAUGGGUGUGCGUAUGAUUAGGUAGUUGGCGGGGUAACGGCCCACCAAGCCGACGAUCAUUCACUGGUGUGAGAGCACGACAAGUCACACGGGCACUGAGACACGGGCCCGACUCCUACGGGAGGCAGCAGUAAGGAAUAUUGGUCAAUGGACGGAAGUCUGAACCAGCCAUGCCGCGUGGAGGAUGAAGGUCCUCUGGAUUGUAAACUUCUUUUAUAGGGGGCGAAAAAAGGGAAUUCUUUCUCGUCUGACGGUACCCUAUGAAUAAGCACCGGCUAACUCCGUGCCAGCCGCCGCGGUAACAC
rnacentral:rRNA from 1 species